rnacentral:rRNA from 1 species
ACUCCUACGGGAGGCAGCAGUGGGGAAUAUUGCACAAUGGGGGAAACCCUGAUGCAGCCAUGCCGCGUGUGUGAAGAAGGCCUUCGGGUUGUAAAGCACUUUCAGUAGGGAGGAAGGUAGUNUAGUUACAUACCUGCAUUAUUUGACGUUUACCUACAGAAGAGCACCGGCUAACUCCGGUGCCAGCAGCCGCGGUAAUACGGAGGGUGCGAGCGUUAAUCGGAAUUACUGGGCGUAAAGCGCAUGCAGGCGGCCUGUUAAGUCAGAUGUGAAAGCCCGGGGCUUAACCUCGGAAUUGCAUUUGAAACUGGCAGGCUAGAGUCUUGUAGAGGGGGGUAGAAUUUCAGGUGUAGCGGUGAAAUGCGUAGAGAUCUGAAGGAAUACCAGUGGCGAAGGCGGCCCCCUGGACAAAGACUGACGCUCAGAUGCGAAAGCGUGGGGAGCAAACAGG